CUCUUUAUAGUCAGCCUUCUGCUUGCCACACUCACGGUGGGCAGUCAGUGAAUCUUCCCCAAGUGCUGACAAUUAAUACCUGGUUUAGCGGCAAAGAUUCAGAGAGGCGUGAGCAGCCCCUCUGGCCUUCAGAAUUAUUAAAGAAUUACCUAAAAGUUCUUGGACUGGAAAGAUGUGAAAAAGCCACUAACUCUAUUUUCCUAGAAUGAAGGUGAAAAGGAGAUGUGUUUAGGAACCUUCUCUGCUUCCCUAAAAGAACCCUAAAAACAGUAGUAAAAACAGUGAAGAAAACAAAGGGCCUUUAAAGUGCACUCGUUAAAACCUAAUAACUGUAUUUCUAUUACUAAACGUAGAAGUGGUAAAAAUCAUUAACAGGCAAUGUCUCCCCUGCACUCUAGGGAUUCAAAGAUCCAUCUUUCGGUUCUGUAAGACAGUCACGGCUUUUGUAACCUCGGUGCCCCCCUUCAACCUCCCGCCCCAAGCACCUCCAGGGUCGUCAGGGGUGUAAUUUUGAGUCGCGCUCCUAAGCAUCCAGACA
rnacentral:sRNA from 1 species